AUAGAUUGGGGGUGGGGGGCUGGGCUUAAAUCGAAAAUCUAUACGCAACUAAAACUUGGAAGAAAAAAAAUCGGGAUCGGAAUUCCAACUGUAUUCCUACCAUCAAACUCUUAGUUUCGAAAUGUGGUGUUUAUGAGAUGCGCUUGAAUGAGAUGUAACUCACCAGUUUCAAGCAACAAGCAGUCUCGUGAUGGAUAAACUGGCAGCAGAGAAUAAGGAUGAAGACGAGUUGAGCAUUCCUCGAGCUGCCUUGAACAAGAUGAUAAAGGAACUCAUUCCAAACAUUCGGGUAGCAAACGAUGCCAGAGAACUUAUUCUGAACUGUUGUACUGAGUUCAUUCACCUAGUCUCUUCAGAGGCCAAUGAAAUCUGCAACAAACAGAGCAAAAAGACUAUUUCACCGGAGCAUAUAAUUGCUGCGCUUGAUCACCUUGGUUUUGGGAAUUACAAAGAAGAUGCAGAGGCAGUGCUGGAGGAAACCAAGGCAGUCGCUGCCAAGAAAAGGAGAGGAAGUUCACGACUGGAAAAUCUGGGAAUUCCCGAGGAGGAGCUUCUCAGACAACAACAAGAAUUGUUUGCCAAGAUUGCGAGAGAUGAAGAUUCAGCCUAAUAGUCAAAGUCAUCACUGGACAGUUGGUCCGACCUACGAGAGUGAAUCGGACCAAUUACAAAUUUGUCGGUUUUGUCCGACAGUCCAAUAACUUUGAUGUUCACUGCUUGCAAUGUCCUUAGACCAACUUAUAUAGUGUCGGUUUUUUAUGUUCUCUAUCUGCAACCUUUGACCCCUGUCAAAUCCCUGUUAAUGUAAAUUUGUUUGUAACCUUUCUGUUGGAAAUGUUGAAUGUUAAAAGUGUUGUACAUAAAAUGAUGAAAGCAUAUAUAUAAUAUUAAUGAUGGAAGCGUAUAUAGAAUGUUAAAAGCGUAGUACAUAGAAUGAUGAAAGCAUAUAUAGAGUGUUAAAAGCAUAGUAUGUAGAAUGAUGAAAGCGUAUAUAGAGUGUUAAAAGCGUAGUACAUAGAAUGAUGGAAGCGUAUAUAGAGUGUUAAAAGCGUAGUACGUAGAAUAAUGGAAGCAGAUAUAUAGAGUGUUAAAAGCGUAGUACAUAGAAUGAUGGAAGCGUAUAUAGAAUGUUAAAAGCGUAGUACAUAGAAUGAUGGAAGCGUAUAUAGAAUGUUAAAAGUGCAGUACAUAGAAUGAUGGAAGCAUAUAUAGAUUGUUAAAAGCGUAUUACAUAGAAUGAUGGAAGCGUAUAUAGAAUGUUAAAAGCGUAGUACGUAGAAUAAUGGAAGCGGAUAUAUAGAGUGUUAAAAGCGUAGUACAUAGAAUGAUGGAAGCGUAUAUAGAAUGUUAAAAGUGUAGUACAUAGAAUGAUGAAAGCGUAUAUAGAGUGUUAAAAGCGUAGUACAUAGAAUGAUGGAAGCGUGUAUAGAGUGUUAAAAGCGUAGUACGUAAAAUGAUGAAAGCAUGUAUAGAGUGUUAAAAGCGUAGUACAUAGAAUGAUGGAAGCAUAUAUAGAGUGUUAAAAAAUAUUGUAAGCAUGUACAUAGAACAUUGAAGUUAUAAAUAUUUGAUAUAGUAAUAUUAUAUUCAGUUACCGCGUGCUUUGCCCCCUUGUGUAAUGUUGGACAUGAAAAAAUGCGUAUUUAACCCCUAGUGUAAAUAACCACUUUUAUAGUAACAUGACAAGUUGACAUUGGUGAUGUAAAGGGCAAAAUAUACACAAAACUAGUAGAUGAUGUUGAUACAUUAUUCCAGCAAGGGAAGUCACCAGAGGAUAGAUAUCUCUAGUCAUUGCUAAUACACAUCCAAUCUGUAAUGUCUGUCGUGAUGAUACAAUUAUUCUUAGAUUGUAUAACUAAUUCCACAACAUGCGCAUCAUUGCUAAAGGUGUUCGCAAGCUCCCAUUCAUUCUAUAAGUAUUUCAUUUUUCCAAUGUUUUUGCCUUCGAUAUCUUUACCUAUUAAAUAGCUAUUUAUUUCCUCAUGAAUGUGAACAAUAUGCUUAUGAAUCUUCAUUUAGUUCAGCCAUUCUAACUGCUGAAAAUCCUUAUAGAAAUGAAAGCAAAUGUCAAUAUUUUUUUAAAUACAUGAAGGUAUGGACAGCAGCACUUGGUGCCAGUUUCAGGAAGUGCUAACACGCCUCCAGAAGCGAAGCAGGAGCAGGCUCUUCUGGAACAACAGCAAUGGCUGCAGACUCAACAAGCCCUGCAACAACAGCAACUUCAGCUGCCCCAGCAACCUGACAGCAAUGAUGAUGACUAUUCCUAGCAACAGGACAAUGUUUCAUUCUUACUGACAUUAAUGAUUUUUAAAAUAAAUUUUACUGAGGGAA